rnacentral:rRNA from 1 species
AUACGUAGGUGACAAGCGUUAUCCGGAUUUACUGGGCGUAAAGGGCGUGUAGGCGGUCUUGCAAGUCAGAAGUGAAAUUCCUGAGCUCAACUCGGGCGCUGCUUCUGAAACUGCAGGACUUGAGUGCUGGAGGGGAUAGCGGAAUUCCUAGUGGAGCGGUAAAAUGCGCAGAUAUUAGGAAGAACACCGGUGGCGAAGGCGGCUAUCUGGAAAGUAACUGACGCUGAGGCGCGAAAGCGUGGGGAGCAAACAGGAUUAGAUGCCCUGGUAGUCCACGCCGUAAACGAUGAAUACUAGGUGUAGGGGGUAUCGACUCCCUCUGUGCCGCAGUUAACACAAUAAGUAUUCCGCCUGGGGAGUACGGCCGCAAGGUUGAAACUCAAAUGAAUUGACGGGG